rnacentral:rRNA from 1 species
GAUUAACGCUGGCGGCGUGCAUAACACAUGCAAGUCGAACGAUGAAGAUUAUUAGACUUCUUCGGAAUGAAAAUAAUUGGAUUAGUGGCGGACGGGUGAGUAACGCGUGAGUAACCUGCCUUACACAAGGGGAUAGCCGUUGGAAACGACGAAUAAUACCCUAUGAAACUAUCACUUCGCAUGAAGCGAUAGUCAAAGUGUUAGCGGUGUAAGAUGGACUUGCGUCUGAUUAGCUAGUUGGUGAGAAAAAAGCCCACCAAGGCAACGAUCAGUAGCCGGCUUGAGAGAGUGUACGGCCACAUUGGGACUGAGACACGGCCCAGACUCCUACGGGAGGCCGCAGUGGGGAAUUUUGCACAAUGGGGGAAACCCUGAUGCAGCGACGCCGCGUGAUUUAGAAGGCCUUCGGGUUGUAAAAAUCUUUUGUAUAGGAAGAAAAUGACAGUACUAUACGAAUAAGGUCCGGCUAAUUACGUG